CCUUCGGGUUUAGUGGCGCACGGGUGCGUAACGCGUGGGAAUCUGCCCCUUGGUUCGGAAUAACAGUUGGAAACGACUGCUAAUACCGGAUGAUGACGUAAGUCCAAAGAUUUAUCGCCGAGGGAUGAGCCCGCGUAGGAUUAGGUAGUUGGUGUGGUAAAGGCGCACCAAGCCGACGAUCCUUAGCUGGUCUGAGAGGAUGAUCAGCCACACUGGGACUGAGACACGGCCCAGACUCCUACGGGAGGCAGCAGUGGGGAAUAUUGGACAAUGGGCGAAAGCCUGAUCCAGCAAUGCCGCGUGAGUGAUGAAGGCCUUAGGGUUGUAAAGCUCUUUUACCCGGGAUGAUAAUGACAGUACCGGGAGAAUAAGCUCCGGCUAACUCCGUGCCAGCAGCCGCGGUAAUACG
rnacentral:rRNA from 1 species